AACGAACGCUGGCGGCGUGCCUAACACAUGCAAGUCGAACGAGAAAGGGGCUUCGGCCCUGAGUAAAGUGGCGCACGGGUGAGUAACACGUGGGUAACCUGCCUCUAAGACUGGGAUAACUCGUCGAAAGAUGAGCUAAUACCGGAUAAGACCACAGCUCCUGCGGGGACAGGGGCCAAAGGUAGCCUAUGCUUGCAAGCUAUCACUUAGAGAUGGGCCUGCGUACCAUUAGCUAGUUGGUAGGGUAACGGCCUACCAAGGCAAAGAUGGUUAGCUGGUCUGAGAGGGUGAUCAGCCACACUGGAACUGAGACACGGUCCAGACUCCUACGGGAGGCAGCAGUGGGGAAUAUUGCGCGAUGGGCGAAAGCCUGACGCAGCAACGCCGCGUGAGUGAUGAAGGCCUUCGGGUCGUAAAGCUCUGUCGGAGGGAACGAAUGCUCCCGAGGUUAACAGCCUCGGGAAGUGACGGUACCCUCAAAGGAAGCACCGGCUAACUCUGUGCCAGCAGCCGCCGUAACAC
rnacentral:rRNA from 1 species